rnacentral:lncRNA from 1 species
GUUCACUGAGUCCACUGGAUUAGCAAAGCAGGACAACGCCUUCUGUACCACCAUCUAUGCCAUCUAGUUAGGAGGCAGAAUCUCAGGACUAAUUGCUUCAUUUCUUCAUUUGGCCUUGAAAAAACAUUUCGUUAUUUGUUGUUGCCUGCUAUGUGGAAGGGACCAAGAAUAUCCUCUAAAACAGAAUCUGUUUUGUUUGGUGCUAUGGACACCCUAGGGAGGAAAAAAUUUUUUUGAAAGAGGAGCUGUCAUUUCCAACUUAUCUUUAUUACUCACCUCAAUGCUCGAGGAUCUCUCCACUCAUUCAUGAAGCGUAAUAAGGAGGACACGAAAGCUGGAGCUGGGGGAUGUCUGGCUAUUUUAUAUAAGAUGGCUGAGGAAGGCAGCACAGGUAUUCAAGCCAAGACCUGAGGGACACGAGCAAGCAAGCCACACAGACGUGUGCAAGAAAGGGGAUUGCAGCAAACGUGAAGAGGAAGCUGCAGCGUGGUUUGUAAAUCGUGAAAGAUCAAGGAAGCUGUGAGGACACAAUGAGAAGAUGGCCAUCUGCAAGCCAGGAAGAGAGCCCUCCCUGAGGAACUGAAUGGGCCAGCACCUUGGGCUUGGACUUCCAGUCUCCUGAACUGUUCCCUAAAGAGAUGCAUAAAUCUUGUGAGACGAGACACUGCAUGAAAAAUCUCUCUUCCAGAUAAUGGUUAUGGUGGUUCUAAAACAUGACUUCAAAUUCUUUGGGACUCCUCCCAUCAAAAGUGGGGUGCUUGUGAAGAUAUUUCCAAGGACGUAGUUCCCUGGAAGGAAGAAGUUCUGCGCUCCAGUGGGACCUCAUCAGAUACCCCUCCAUCUCUCCAUCUCCGGCUCUCCAGGAUAUUCUUCACAGCCUCCUCCUGCUGUUGUCCCUCUGUCUCUCUACAUCUUGGGAUAAUGGAAAGAUGGCUUCAGAUCAGGCCUCCAUUGUGCAACUGGCCCAUCCAGAAACUCAAGAAACUUCCCUGUGCCCAAAGUGGAGUAAAUAUAUGCUAUGCUUGCAAUCAAAAGAAAACAAUAAGUAUUGUUUUAAAGAAGUAGAAAUAAAAUCCAG